GGUAGGAUGGCCGAGCGUUUAGGCGGUGGGUUGUAGCCCCGAAGACAGAGGUUUGAUCCCUCUUCCUAUCA
rnacentral:tRNA from 1 species